rnacentral:misc_RNA from 1 species
GUAUUGUAUUGCGUUAAACGCGGCGCACAUUCCAUAAGACUUUGCUGCGGUGUGUGUGUAAAGACGUAGAGCUACAGGAGAGAGGAGACGACAUGUCCCCCCCCCAAGACCAUAGAACUACAGAGAGUGCACAGGUGUGAGUGGAUGCGUAAACAGAGCGUGCACAUGCCCCCCGUUUGAGGGACCAGCGACAACUCAUGUCGACAACUCAGUAAUGAUCCUUCCGCAGGUUCACCUACGGAAA